AUGUGUGUGGUGUGUGUUUGUGUGUGUGGUGUAUGUGUGUGUGAUGUGGUGUGCAUGUGUGUGAUGUGGUGUGUGUGGUGUGUGUGGUGUGGUGUGUGGUGUGUGUAUGGUAUGUGGUGUGUGUGGUGUGUGUGGUGUGUGUGUGGUGUGUGUAUGGUAUGUGGUGUGUGUGGUGUGUGUGGUGUGUGUGUGGUGUGGUGUGUGUGGUGUGUGUGGUGUGUGUGGUGUGUGUGUGGUGUGUGUGGUGUGUGUGUGGUGUGUGUAUGGUAUGUGGUGUGUGUGGUGUGUGUGUGUGUGGUAUGUGGUGUGUGUGGUGUGUGUGGUGUGUGUGUGGUGUGUGGUGUGUUGUGUGGUGUGUGUGGUGUGGUGUGUGGUGUGUGUGGUGUGUGUGUGGUGUGUGGUGUGUGUGGUGUGUGGUGUGU
rnacentral:lncRNA from 9 species